AUUGAACGCUGGCGGCAGGCCUAACACAUGCAAGUCGAACGAGUGGCGGACGGGGGAGUAAUGUCUGGGAAAAUGCCUGAGGGAGGGGGAUAACUACUGGAAACGGUAGCUAAUACCGAAUACCAGCGGGUGUCCCCAGAUGGGAUUAGCUAUGAGGUGGGGUAAAGGCUCACCUAGGCGACGAUCCCUAGCUGGUCUGAGAGGAGGACCAGCCACCCUGGAACUGAGACACUGUCCAGACUCCUACGGGAGGCAGCAGUGGGGAAUAUUGCACAAUGGGCGCAAGCCUGAUGCAGCCAUGCCGCGUGUAUGAAGAAGGCCUUCGGGUUGUAAAGUACUUUCAGCGGGGAGGCGUUACCCGCAGAAGAAGCACCGGCUAACUCCGUGCCAGCAGCCGCGGUAAUUC
rnacentral:rRNA from 1 species